rnacentral:pre_miRNA from 8 species
GGAGUAUGGAUAAAGGCGCUCCCAACCCUUCUUGGCACUGGUAGAAUUCACUGAAUUCUUUUAAGUUCAGUGAAUUACCAGUCUCAAAAAUUGUGAGUGAACCAUUGCGGCGUACUUUAC